GACGUAGGGGGCGAGCGUUGUCCGGAUUCAUUGGGCGUAAAGAGCGUGUAGGCGGCCCGGUAAGUCCGCUGUAAAAGUCAAAGGCUCAACCUUUGAAUGUCAGUGGAUACUGCCGGGCUAGAGUCCGGAAGAGGCGAGUGGAACUCCUGGUGUAGCGGUGGAAUGCGCAGAUAUCAGGAAGAACACCAACGGCGAAGGCAGCUCGCUAGGACGGUACUGACGCUGAGACGCGAAAGCGUGGGGAGCGAACAGG
rnacentral:rRNA from 1 species